UAGUGCCUACGGGAGGCAGCAGUGAGGAAUAUUGGUCAAUGGACGAGAGUCUGAACCAGCCAAGUAGCGUGAAGGAUGACUGCCCUAUGGGUUGUAAACUUCUUCUAUAAAGGAAUAAAACGAGGCACGUGUGCCUUUUUGCAUGUACUUUAUGAAUAAGGAUCGGCUAACUCCGUGCCAGCAGCCGCGGUAAUACGGAGGAUCCGAGCGUUAUCCGGAUUUAUUGGGUUUAAAGGGAGCGUAGAUGGGAUGUUAGGUCAGUUGUGAAAGU
rnacentral:rRNA from 1 species